CUGUCUCUGACCCAGGAGGCCCCCCUGCUGACUCUCAAGCAGAAGCAGGAAUGGAUCUGCCUGGAGACGCUCACCCCAGACACCCAGUAUGAGUUUCAGGUGCGGGUCAAGCCUCUGCAAGGCGAGUUCACGACCUGGAGCCCCUGGAGCCAGCCCCUGGCCUUCAGGACAAAGCCUGCAGCCCUUGGGAAGGACACCAUUCCGUGGCUCGGCCACCUCCUCGUGGGCCUCAGCGGGGCUUUUGGCUUCAUCAUCUUAGUGUACUUGCUGAUCAACUGCAGGAACACCGGGCCAUGGCUGAAGAAGGUCCUGAAGUGUCACACCCCAGACCCCUCGAAGUUCUUUUCCCAGCUGAGCUCAGAGCAUGGAGGAGACGUCCAGAAGUGGCUCUCUUCGCCCUUCCCCUCAUCGUCCUUCAGCCCUGGCGGCCUGGCACCUGAGAUCUCGCCACUAGAAGUGCUGGAGAGGGACAAGGUGACGCAGCUGCUCCUGCAGCAGGACAAGGUGCCUGAGCCCGCCUCCUUAAGCAGCAACCACUCGCUGACCAGCUGCUUCACCAACCAGGGUUACUUCUUCUUCCACCUCCCGGAUGCCUUGGAGAUAGAGGCCUGCCAGGUGUACUUUACUUACGACCCCUACGCAGAGGAAGACGCUGAUGAGGGUGUGGCCGGGGCACCCACAGGGUCUUCCCCCCAACCCCUGCAGCCU
rnacentral:sRNA from 1 species